AUUGAACGCUGGCGGCGUGACUAACACAUGCAAGUCGAACGAACACACGACGCACUUUCCUCUCUGACGUUAGCGGGGGAAGGAUUACUAACACAUGUGUCACCUCCCUAUAGGACACUAAUCACAACGGUAAACCAGACCUCAUACCAGCUAAUAUAUUAAACGGCAUGCUGCAAUACUUCAAGCCGGUUUUGCUGUCACUGUUAGAUGGAUCGGCGGCGCAUUAGAUAGCUGGUAAGGUAACGGCUUACUAAGUCAACGAUGCGUAGCCGGACUGAGAGGAUGACCGGCCACACUGGAACUGAGACACGGCCCAGACUCCUACGGGAGGCAGCAGUAGGGAAUCUUGGACAAUGGGCGCAAGCCUGAUGGAGCAAUGCCGCGUGAAGGAAGAAGGUCUUCGGGUUGUAAACUUCUUUUAUAAGGAAAGAACAGGUUCGUGAUAAUCUAUGCGCGUAUUGACGGUACCGUAUGAGUAAGCACCGGCUAACUACGUG
rnacentral:rRNA from 1 species